rnacentral:rRNA from 1 species
GAUUAACGCUGGCGGCGUGCCUAACACAUGCAAGUCGAACGAGGUAGCAAUACCUAGUGGCAGACGGGUGAGUAACGCGUGGUCAACCUACCGUUGAGUGGGGGAUAACUAGCCGAAAGGUUAGCUAAUACCGCAUACGUCUCCGAGAGGCAUCUCUUGGCGAUAAAAGGAGCAAUCCGCUCGAUGACGGGACCGCGUCCCAUUAGCUAGAUGGUGGGGUAACGCCUACCAGGCUCCGAUGGGUAGCUGGUUUGAGAGAGCGACCAGCCACACUGGGACUGAGAAACGGCCCAGACUCCUACGGGAGGCAGCAGUGAGGAAUUUCCGCAAUGGGCGAAAGCCUGACGGAGCGACGCCGCGUGUGGGAAGAAGGCC